UACGUAGGGUGCAAGCGUUAAUCGGAAUUACUGGGCGUAAAGCGUGCGCAGGCGGUUUUGUAAGUCUGUCGUGAAAUCCCCGGGCUCAACCUGGGAAUUGCGAUGGAGACUGCAAGGCUAGAAUCUGGCAGAGGGGGGUAGAAUUCCACGUGUGAGCAGUGAAAUGCGUAGAGAUGUGGAGGAACACCGAUGGCGAAGGCAGCCCCCUGGGCCUGCACUGACGCUCAUGCACGAAAGCGUGGGGAGCAACAGG
rnacentral:rRNA from 1 species